UAGAGCAGAGUGGCGCAGUGGAAGCGUGCUGGGCCCAUAACCCAGAGGUCCGUGGAUGAGAAAAAUAUCCCAGGAUGUUUUAA